rnacentral:lncRNA from 1 species
AGUGAUAAUGAACGCCAUACCAAUUUCCAAAUUGUACACAAGAAACUUAAAUUAAAAUAAUAAAAGACUAACAAAGGCCAGAGGCUCCUGACUUGGGACAGGCGCAAAAAUGCGGCGGGGUUAAACAUGUUUGUGAGAUCUCAACCCUCCCCCUAUACCUCUAACCAAUAGUAAAAGUAAACGCAUAACAAUACGCACAUUAAAAUUCAGUUCAAGAGAAAUCCGAGUCUGAUGUCCGAAGAUGUAACCAAAGAAAAUAAACAAAAUGACAAUAAUACAUAAAUAACAACAGACUACUACAAGUUAACUGAACUGCCAGCUCCAGAC